rnacentral:lncRNA from 1 species
GGGAGGGGUCAAAGUUACUCUGCCCGGGGGAAAGUGCGGGUCCGGGGGGGACGCGAGUAGCAGCGCGGCCGCCUCGCUCCCCAGUGGUGUGAAAGAAGAGCUAGAGCCCAAGGGGUCAGCGUUGCUGAUUGGUGUCGAGGAAUAGGGGUUGUGUUGAAGUCAAAGUGACUGCUCUGCAGUUCUGGCAGCAGGAGGAACCUUCAUGGGAAAACUUUGCCUUCCUGAACUUGUCUAGAUUGGUCUCAAGUCUUGAGAUGAGAGUCAGAGUUCAUUCUCCUGUCAGGCCCCUGUUCCUUUGCUGCUGCUGUGUGACAUGGCUGGCUUUCUGCUGGGCUCUGGUGUACUUUCCUCCACUAGUCAUGCAGCUUCCCUCCCACCUGAGCCUGGGAACUCCUGGCACUUAACUGUGGAGAGCCUCUUCCUCUGUACCGCUCAUCUUCAGGCAGCAAAACCUGGCUUCAGUAAAACAGCGCUUCCCGUUCCAAACCGGCCUUCCUUUCUCCAGUGUGUUGGGAUCUUUACAGCAGCCCAUGCUGCAGCGCCUCGCCUGUUCCACUCGAACUGCCUGCACCGCUGGCUUGGACCUUACCUAGGAUAAAUCUCAGCGU